UCCAUCUAAAUCAACAUCGGUUCAUAUCUCAUCCAAAUCCACCACAAAAUCGGUUCAUUUUCAAGUUGAACAUACAAAAUACAAAUAAAAACACAUAAGACAUUCAUAACAGAUCCAAAUCUUGUCGGCGUGGGAGUUGCCAGGAAUUGUGGAUCUAGAUUUUUGCCAUCUUCCCCUUUGCAUCCUUAGCAGUCGCACAAAUUCGUGGACCUGAAUUGGGAUUUGGAUCUUCAAUGCGCUUUAAGGUUAUGGUUGGGUUUGGGAUCGCGAAAUUGGGGGUGGAUGUGAGAGGAGCACCAACUUCCGCGUCUCGCCUCCGCCACCGUGCUCUCUGGUGAACAAGAGGUAAGGCUUUCUCCUUUUUCUGUGGAACACAACUUUCAAAUCACGUCCUCAUUAUUCAAACAAGACUUCUUCACCACCAAUUUGAAAGAACCCUUGCUUUCAACCCGUGUCUCAUUCAUCCAAUGUCGGAAAAUUCAACAUAUACAAUGAAUUACCUCUAUAAUUUAUCAGAAAGCAUGUCGUCUUGAACAUCAUACUACCAUUAACCUAAGAUUUAGACCAAUAAAAUGGCAGUUUGGGUGAGAAAAAUCUUUAAAAUAGAAAACAGUAUUUGACGCUAAAAUUUUACUUACAACUUCUCAAAAGUUUAAGAAAGUACUGAGAUUUUUUAAUUUUGCAACUACCACUGUCUCAAAUCAGGUCUCAUUUUAUAGCCAAAGAAAACAAACCGCAGAAUUUUAUUUCUUUUCUAUACUCAUCAAUUUCAUAAUUCUUUUCGACAUCAUUCCAUUUUGGGUAUUCAUAGAAAAUUCCUCGAAUGGUACCACAAUUCAUUCCAUGUACAACAAUGUGUUGAACCACUUCAACAAGUCUGCGUGUAUGAUAUUCAGUGUAUCUGAUGUUCGUAUUAAUUCUUUAAAAAUACAAAUUCAUUGAUUCCAAAUUUUAUAGGAUCUUUUGUCAAGUCUAUUUCUCUCUAAAAAUACAUAAAAAGUAUUAGUUCAUGUAAAAAGUGCAGUUUAUUGUUUUUAACCCGUAGCUAUACAGUAUCAAUCAUAAUCAAUAGGACAUGUUGUAGUGUAAAAAUCGCUAAAAAUCACACUAAAUUUGAAAUGACAUGAGAGCAAAGGCAUUGCGGAGAGGACAAAAGGAAAUUGGAGAAGAAAAAACAGAGAGACGGGUAAAGAAAGGACCUCUUGCUUGCCCUUGGUGAGGGAGGGGCAUGACGACGAAGUUUCUGUACUAGUUCUCUUUCUUAGGUUAACGAUGAUUGGCACUGGUUCUUAGUGAGUAUACUCUUUGCAUUUUUUACUAGCUUUCUUUGUUGGCAUUUUAACUACUAAGUAGAAGUAAAAUCUUCCUAAAUUUGAAAUUUACUUUGAGUUGGAGUGUUAAUACGUAGUUGCAUUAGAAAUUUUUUUGUUACUAAUAAGAAAAAUGAUUCAUCCUGAAUUUAGAAAGAUUUCUGUAAAUGAUACACGUAGUUUUUAUCUUACUUUAACAAAAAUUUACUCCACAGAGCAGAAAUUCUAGCAAAUAAAUGCAUUUGUUGCACAAAAUAUUUGGAUGAAAGAAAAUUUGUUUCUAACAAAUUGUUCGUUUGCAGUCACAAAAGUUUAUACAAACAAGUUUUAGUUAGUGUUUCAAUUGUUUGGAAGGAAAGUAACUUAUUAAGGAUAAUCUUUCAUUUUUUAAAACUUUGUUGCUACAUAUAUUAUGUGUAUUCUUAUAACUAACACGUGUUCUUUUAUUAAGGAUAAUCUUUCACAUACUAAAGCACUAAUCAGAUAAAUUAAUCAAAGUAGCUUAUAAAUAACUUAUACACUAAUCAAAGUUACCUAUAAACUACUAAAAUGUCUUGCAUACAUACUACACAACUUAUUUCUCACAUUAAUAAAAUCAACAUAAUGUUACAAUUUGUGUAUCUCAUUAAUAAAAUUAAUUCACCGUUUUGACAUUUUUAGUUAUUAUAAAAUUUAGUCAAAGAGCAUUGAUUUUGGUGAUAAGGGUAAUUAUUAAAAAAAAAAACAGUUUCUUUAUAUUUUGUUUUUCUUUAUCAUCAUAUCUCUCACUUUCUCUCUUUCUUUCAUUAUUUUUCUUUUUAUAUCUUUCUUUCAUACAUUUAUCCACUCUAAAUUGAGAAAGAAGCUUAAAAUUUUCCUAAUAAUUUAUAGGAAUUCAUACACUUCUCAAUUCUCUCCAAUUCCUUUAACUCAAAUGCACUUACUUUUUGUGUUUCAUUUCUUUUUGAUUGUAUAUUUUCUCUCUUCAUCACAUCAUUUGUAAUAUAUAUUGUUUUCUCCUUUUUCUUUUUAAUUCUCUUCUUUUCACCAUAUAAACCACAAAAAAUAGGAUGUACGUUCAUCACUAACCUUAUGGAAAGCAAUCUUAAAAGGUACGGAUAAAGCACAACAGCAAUUUAGACACAGAAUAUAAAGUCC
rnacentral:lncRNA from 1 species